UACAGAGGGGGCGAGCGUUGUUCGGAAUUACUGGGCGUAAAGGGCGCGUAGGCGGCCCGCUAAGUCGAACGUGAAAUCCCCAGGCUCAACCUGGGAACUGCGUCCGAUACUGGCAGGCUUGAAUCCGGGAGAGGGAUGUGGAAUUCCAGGUGUAGCGGUGAAAUGCGUAGAUAUCGGGAGGAACACCAAUGGCGAAAGCAGGUAACUGGACUAUUACUGACACUCAGCUGCGAAAGCUAGGGGAGCAAACAGG
rnacentral:rRNA from 1 species